GUGCUGGGUGGUGGCUCUCGUCAUCCGCGAGGCUUUGUCUGGCAACUGCGGAGCACAAUCCAAGAUAGAAUCAACUGCGAGGAAGCCACAUGCCAUAGUUUGAUCCAAGCCUUAUUGUUCAUCAGAAACCUUGGUGAUCUUUGCCAAGCAAUUGUCCACCGGCCUAGGGUGAGGGAGGUAUCUUAUCCGGCAGCUUGGAGUUGUCCUUGUGAGCCUGUGCGCAAGAAAGGAAAAAAAAUGACACAGACAACUUCGAUUGACAUUUGGAUAUAACUUUCAUUCGAACAAACUGACGAUGAUUUCUUGACCUUGCAUAAGACUAGAUGCAAAGCAAGCCUGGGAAAUUACUACUAUUAGUUUCUGUCUAGAGUCUAGACAACCUACUUGUAACCAAGAAGGAAAUGGUGGAGGAAGAUGGAGAUCUCCAGCUUCGCAAGAUCAUUUCCAGGGCACUGUCUGGUUCCAAGUCCAAAGGGAAGAAACGUGCCAGAUCUCGGCGAGUUACCCUAAAAAUAGUUCAAUAAAAGCUUCAAGUUCAGGUAGCUUGUUAUCAAUAACAAACAAGUUCAGCAUUGCAGUUUGAUGCUUCUAGGAUUAUUCAGAGCGGCAACCCUCUGUAAAUUGAAAUUAUCUGUACCUCCCAUCUUGAUGGGUUAAACUUCUUGGGGUCAGGAUAAACUUCAGGAUCCAUGUGCACACUUCUGUACCACAGUUGAACCUUCCAACCCUUGGGUAUCAAGUAGCCUGUCGGCAUGUGUAGCUAGUUGAGCUGCUGA